rnacentral:rRNA from 1 species
UGGGGAAUUUUGGACAAUGGGCGAAAGCCUGAUCCAGCAAUGCCGCGUGUGUGAAGAAGGCCUUCGGGUUGUAAAGCACUUUUGUCCGGAAAGAAAUCCUUGGCUCUAAUACAGUCGGGGGAUGACGGUACCGGAAGAAUAAGCACCGGCUAACUACGUGCCAGCAGCCGCGGUAAUACGUAGGGUGCAAGCGUUAAUCGGAAUUACUGGGCGUAAAGCGUGCGCAGGCGGUUUGCUAAGACCGAUGUGAAAUCCCCGGGCUCAACCUGGGAACUGCAUUGGUGACUGGCAGGCUAGAGUAUGGCAGAGGGGGGUAGAAUCCCACGUGUAGCAGUGAAAUGCGUAGAGAUGUGGAGGAAUACCGAUGGCGAAGGCAGCCCCCUGGGCCAAUACUGACGCUCAUGCACGAAAGCGUGGGGGAGCAAAACAGGAUUAGAUACCCUGGUAGUCCACGCCCUAAACGAUGUCAACUAGUUGUUGGGGAUUCAUUUCCUUAGUAACGUAGCUAACGCGUGAAGUUGACCGCCUGGGGAGUACGGUCGCAAGAUUAAAACUUAAAGGAAUUGAC